GAGGUGGAAGCAUGGUGACAUGUGUAGCUGACGAAUACUAAUCGAUCGAAGACUUAAUCAA
rnacentral:rRNA from 1 species